CAUGCACCCACUGAGGAAAGACCACAUGAGGAUACAACAAGAAGGCUGCUGCCUGCAAGCCAGGAAGAGAGCCUUCACCAGAACGCCACCCUGCUGGCUCCCUGAUCUUGAACUUCUAGCGUCCAGAAAGUGUGAAGAUUAAUUGCUGAAGUGAUCAUCAAAAUGAUUGGCAUCUUCUGUUAUUUCAGCAAGAAUAUAAAACUGAGGGGAACUGUUGAAAGAGGACAAAAUAAGAAAUAAUACAUUACUGAAUAAAUUGGUUUUGGAAAAAACAAGGAAAAUGAA
rnacentral:lncRNA from 1 species